rnacentral:tmRNA from 1 species
GGGGCCGACCGGUUUCGACAUGGGUUGCGAAACUGCAGGGGCGUACCGAGGUGCAGGUUACCUCGUAAAACUGACUUGCAAACUUAUAGUUGCCAACGAAGACAACUACGCUCUAGCUGCCUAAUCGCAGCUGAACCCUGACCGGCCUGUGCUGAUGCGAACGGUUCAGGGGUAGCGCUCAUCAGCUAGUGGGACACACGUGUCUGGGGUGUGUCUUGCGAAUCGCCACCGGGCUGGCUGCACGCUUUCCCUGCCCGUCGGGUCAGCGAGCGGCGAGAACAAUAGACGCGGCUACGUACGUAGAUCUUGUAGCGUAGGACUUAUGGACGGGGGUUCGAUUCCCCCCGGCUCCACCA